UGAAACUAAAAGAAUUGAUACAAUUAUUUAUCAGUGUAAAACAAUGGGUAAUAUCUAUUUCAUUUUCUUAAUACAUUAAAAAAGGCAAUUGAAAAAGGGUAUACCCGUGCAACGUGCACAAGCUCCCACUAUGCACGGGUUUUAGGAAAAGGCCGGACCACAAGGAUCUAUUGAAAAUGCAAUUAAAAUACAUGAAAAAUCAAUCUCCAACUACUCACCAAGAGUAUGAGAGCUGGGGAUCAACUGGAGCUGGUAUAACUGAGGUUGAUGCUUCAGGACAGUAAACAGAAAACAAAUUUAUGAAGUCUUUCUGUUCUUCGAUGGAACAUCAUAAGCAACCAUGAACUGGAAAACCCAAGGAACUAUAGAUAGACGUUAGCAGCUCACUUCUUGACUAAUCUUAGAACAUCACCCACGAGAUGCAAAGACCCCGUCACCAGAACCUGGGAGCGACCAGAUCGGUUUUUACGAACAGUGUCUCUAAGCCAAUUUAUUGCUACUGGGAGUGAAGGAAACACUUUGCUGUUCUCACAACUUUGAGCUCCUUUUUCCGAAUCAUCUGUUACUUCUUCAUAUGUGUGGUCUGUAUUCUUCACAUCAUUGCCUUUUUCCCCACGAACAAGGUUUUCCCAUAUUCUUCGUAGAGUCAGCUGCCAUGACAGAUCAACUUGAGUAUCAGCAGUUGAGGCACUUGUACCCACCUUGUAAUAUACUGAAACAUUAGGUACAAAGAGCGCUUUCUGGAAGUGGACUCCAUGACUAGCACACGCCCUCACCAGCCUUGGAAGAAGUAGUUCAGGAUCCCUCACUGACAUACAGUUGAAGAGUAAGAACUGGGUUGAACUUUUCUUGGAUGCUUCAUGAUGGCUAAUCUCUACUGAAUCAUGUGAGGGUCCCAAUUCAUUAUGUCCAUGAUUACUUGCAUAGGAAUUGUGUUGCUUGUAAUCUCCUUUGAUUGCCAGUGAAAACCAUUUGGCACAUACAUCCAUGCUUUCAGGACUAUGGGCACCAUCCAAGUAGAACACAAGGUCCCCUGAGCUUUCACUCUCUAUGAGUUGGUCAGGUACAAUUUGAGCACGGCCUUGUAAGGCAGCUGUUGCUAGCCCUUUAACAAAUUGCUCAGGUAGAUGUGUCAUCUCUUUUAGGUAAUUAAUUUCAACGUGGCCAGUUCUCUGUAGCCAAGUAGAGCAUAAUGCAAUGGCAAGAGCAGCAUUAAUGUAUUGGUGCUCACCCUCUAGCCCAAGAUGUAAACCACUCAGCACGCUGGCAUCAAGUGGAGCAGCUACCUCAAGAUGUACAUCUAACUCAGAAGCCUUCUCUUCAAGCACAAGCAUUGCUUCGUCAGGCUGGGGAACAGUAAAUGCCGGCACUCCUCGCUUGAAGAUUCCUGCCUUCUCUCCAGCAAUUUGUCCAAGAGUAUUUCCAAGAAUUUCCAUGUGGUCAUACCCUAGUGAAGCUAUGCCACAAACAACUGGAUUCUCGACCACAUUUGUUGCAUCAUAUUUGCCUCCUAGUCCAACCUCCAAAAUAGCAACAUCAACCUGCUCUGCUGCAAAUAUUUUGAAGGCUAACAGCGCAAGGAAGCGAAAGUAAGUGGGCAUUGGGACCUCGUCAGUGGCUCUUUCCUUGAAUCUAUCGAAGCACCACCAAAAAUAUGCCAAAAACUUCUCUUCACAAAUGUCCAUUCCAUCCAAUCGGAAUCUUUCUCUAACAUCAAUGAGGUGAGGAGACGUAAAAAGACCGGUAUGAAAGCCACAGUUGCGCAAUAUAGACUCUGUGAAUGCACAAGUUGAACCCUUUCCUUUGGUACCUGCCACAUGGAUAAUCUUCAUCUUCUUUAUUGGUUCUUCUAGUUCCAAUAUCUUGAUAUAAUCAAAGAGCAACUCAUAUUUAUCCCCUUUAUUGCUCUUAUCAGCACGACUCCGUUUCGUAAUCAAUGAGGAUAACGCCUCCAUUGCCUCUUCAUAUGGAGAAAGAGUUGGCUUUAUCUCAUCCUUACCUUCACCUUGUGACAUUUUCGUUCGAUUGAUACAGAAUAGCGAAACCAGAAAUCUGAGAUGGAGAUUUGAAGCGUAGAGCAGAGAAGUAGAACUCACAAGUAGCGGUUGUUGAAAGGAGUGAGAUGAUAAACUGG
rnacentral:misc_RNA from 1 species